rnacentral:lncRNA from 8 species
AUGUCUUUAUCUGCAUCUACAAAUAUCCCACCUGCACUGACAGCGGAUCAGCUAACGGUCAUCGUGGCCUCCGUGUCCUGCCUGGUGUUCUUCGUAGUGAUUCUCGUGCUCCUGGUGGUCUUGUACAGGAAAGACCCUUUCUGCUGCAGGGUGUCGAACAACCAGCACUGUACAGAUGCUCCACCCCAGUACAACAGAAGACAGUCUCUAGUGGUGUCUCCCUACGAUGAACGUACUGCUGCCAUGGCCCACGGAAACAUUGGUUCCCAGCUUCCAGGGAGGCUGUUUAUCAUCGGUAAGCCCAGUAGCUAUCACCUGGAUGGGAUCCUGCCCCGCCUUCCGUCCUACGAGAGCGUCCGUAAGAAGGACCGUCAGAGACAGAUCCACUCUAUGAUAGCCAACCGCUUUGGUAUCAGCCCCACACAGUCUGAAACGGAGCCUCCUCCGACGUAUGAGGAGACUCUUCGCCAGUCCAUGAUCAUCUCCUCUGAAGACCUACAGUCUGUUGAGGCACGUCCCUCAGACCUCCCUCUCUCCACCUCUACCUCCAGCCUUGAACACACAGUGACAGUAGCCCGGUCACCCUACCACCCUAUUCAGAGCCCGACCCAGGAACCCCUCUCUGUCUAG